rnacentral:ncRNA from 1 species
UUACGACAAAGGCAAACCUUGUGAAAGCAAGGGACGCAAAGCCAGGGGCCUAAAGAAUAUAUUCCAUGGCAGCCGGUUAUCGAA